UACGAAGGGGCUAGCGUUGUUCGGAUUUACUGGGCGUAAAGCGCACGUAGGCGGAUUGGUCAGUUAGAGGUGAAAUCCCGAAGCUCAACUUCGGAACUGCCUUUAAUACUGCCAGUCUAGAGUCCGGAAGAGGUAAGUGGAACGUACCUAGUGUAGAGGUGGAAUUCGUAGAUAUUCGCAAGAACACCAGUGGCGAAGGCGGCUUACUGGUCCGGAACUGACGCUGAGGUGCGAAAGCGUGGGGGAGCAAACAGG
rnacentral:rRNA from 1 species